AGUGAACGCUGGCGGUAGGCCUAACACAUGCAAGUCGAACGGCAGCACAGUAAGAGCUUGCUCUUACGGGUGGCGAGUGGCGGACGGGUGAGGAAUACAUCGGAAUCUACUUUUUCGUGGGGGAUAACGUAGGGAAACUUACGCUAAUACCGCAUACGACCUACGGGUGAAAGCAGGGGAUCUUCGGACCUUGCGCGAUUGAAUGAGCCGAUGUCGGAUUAGCUAGUUGGCGGGGUAAAGGCCCACCAAGGCGACGAUCCGUAGCUGGUCUGAGAGGAUGAUCAGCUACACUGGAACUGAGACACGGUCCAGACUCCUACGGGAGGCAGCAGUGGGGAAUAUUGGACAGUGGGCGCAAGCCUGAUCCAGCCAUACCGCGUGGGUGAAGAAGGCCUUCGGGUUGUAAAGCCCUUUUGUUGGGAAAGAAAAGCAGCAGGUUAAUACCCCGCUGUUCUGACGGUACCCAAAGAAUAAGCACCGGCUAACUUCGUG
rnacentral:rRNA from 1 species